UAUUGUUAAAUAAAUUGUUUAAUUUAUUGUUUUGAAUAGGUAAUAAUACAAUGGUAUAAAAUGUUACAACACUCAAAAGAAACCAGCUAGUUUCCUUGUCCAGAGACAACUGCUUUACCAGUUUCUUAUAUGUCCCUCCAGAGAUAGACUAAGGAAAUAAAAGAAGGUCAGCAUAGUCUGUUAUUUUUUUAUACAAUGCUAACAUUCUAUACACAUUAUCUUACAUGUUAAUUUGUUUCACCAUCAACAUAAUAUUUUAGAGAUUACUCUAACAGUAUUUAUAAGGCUGCCUUAUUAUUUUUUAAUUAAGCUUUUUAUUUUGAGAUACAUAUAGAGUCACAUGCAGUUAUCUUAUGUUUUAUGGUUGCAUAAUACUCCAUUGUAGAGAUAACCAUAAUUUAUUUAAUGAGUCUCUAUAAGGGAAUAUAUAGGUCAUUUCAAAAGUUUUGCUGUUAUAAAUGUCAAUACAAUUAACAGACUUGAACAUAUUAUUUCACACAUUUGCAAGGAAAUGCCUGUAGGAUAAAUCCUUAAAAGUGGAACUGCUGAAUCAAAGGGCAUAUGAAAUUUUAAUUUGUCAAUAUUGAAAUUUUACCUUCCCUUGAGGUUACACCAAUAUACACUCUCCUCCAACUGAGACUUCAGUUCUGCAAUGGUUUUAUUUCCUCUUGUUCUACCUGCCCAUGUUUUACCUUCUUCUGUGGUCUGGCCAAACUUCCCUCACCUUCUCUCUUAUCUGCCCUUUAAGCUUUAGUUAUAUACAAGUGGCAGCUUCAUUACACUUUUUGAACUGUGGCAUCUACUUGGCACAAUUUUGUGGCAACAUUUUUCCAGUGAAUGUUCUUCAUUUGCCAUUUGUUUUUUUUUCUUUUCCAUUCCUCUCUUUCUGAUCUUGUUAUUCAUUUCUGAGUGAUAUUGUCUCUGCAUAUCUGAAACCCUUUUUUUUUUUUUUGGAGACAGAGUUUCACUCUCGUUGCCCAGGCUAGAGUGCAGUGGCUUAAUCUUGACUCACUGCAACCUCCACCUCCCGGGUUCAAGUGAUUCUCCUGCCUCAACCUCCCUAGUAGCUGGGAUUACAGGUGCCCAUCACCACGCCUAAUUUUUUGUAUUUUUAGUAGAGACGGGGUUUCACCACGUUGGCCAGGUUGGUCUCGAACUCCCAACUCAGGUGAUCCACCUACCUCGGCCUCCCAAAGUGCUGGGAUUACAGGCGUGAGCCACCACGCCUGGCCUGCAUAUCUGAAGCCUUUAACUCAGAAGGGAUGUUUUACAGUGGUGCCUCCUGACUGUGAACAAAUAAGAACUUACUCCUUGAGAAAAGUUAUUCACUGAAGGUUUGGGGAUGAGGGCUGGGGCCUCACUGGAGGUUGGCAGACCCCCUCUCUGUUCACAAGGUCAUAUGAGGUGAGACACUGGGGAUGGGGAAUCACGUGAUUAAUUCUACCUUUUCCCAGUCCUUGCAUUUGCACUCCGCAUUACAGUUUUACUUGUCAUUAACUUGGAUGACACUCAUUUAGAAUGUAUGAUAAUUCCGUAACUGGACCAAAGUUUAUCUUCGCUUCGUAAAAUCGUGGCUUCAUGGAAAGUGCAGAUAAACAGUGUCAACAGCACGGCCAAGCCCGUGUUCAAAAUCCUUAAGAAGCAGCUAUUUUUCAAGUCUCUGCAGGCAUUUCCAACAUGUGCUUUUGUAUCUACCAGGAACCAACUUUUAAUCCACAGCAUUAAACCAAAUAGCCUGAUGGUCAGGCCUCUUGAUGGCUCUAAGCCUGGCUGCUUUCCCUUUGGCCCUGCUGUGUGCGUUUGCUCCAUACUUUUAAAGAUGGAAGAGCGAAGAGCCCACACUGCAGAGGGGAUCAAACAGUAAAACAGAGAAACUCUGGUUCUGCAGCAGCAAACAGAUGAUUUCUAACCACAGCUGCUGCAGCCUCAUAAAAAGGAUGCAGGGAAGCUGAUGGAAGACACAGGAGAUGGCCAGGGAGGAGAUCUCCAAUUAAUGAAGGAGGAAGCCCUUUCAGGUACCAUUUACCACACAAAGUCAGACACUAACAAGCCAUUUCAGCAGGAAGACCUGCAGCUUUGGAGGAGAAGCCCGUCUUCGGGAUCCACAUAUUUUACAAGUGCCAUAGAUGAUUUCUAAGCCCACCGCUAGUGGAGAAAUACUGUGCUGAUUAGAAAGGAUUAUUAACCUUGGUUAAUAAGACUCAUCCUGCAGUGAUGCCUGGAACUAUCUGCAAUUUAAUAGACAGAUGCUUACAUUAACAGCUUCCUAAACUGUGUAUUCUACAUUCUUGUGAUUGUUAAGGAGGUGUAAUUGAACUAUGUGAACCUGGCAAUAUUUGCAACUCAAAUCCCUAUGUCUGAGUGGGCAGAGAAGAUGAAAGCAGCCUCCUGCCAAGAAGUGAACUUGGACAGAGUACCUGCUUGUGUUGGAGCCUGC
rnacentral:lncRNA from 10 species